rnacentral:misc_RNA from 1 species
AACGCAUCUUGCGCUCCUUGGUAUUCCGAGGAGCAUGCCUGUUUGAGUGUCAUUUACCUUAUCAACCGCUUCAGAUUUGAAUGUGGCUUGGAUAUGGGGGGCUUUUUUGCCGGCUUGUUCUAUCUGAGAAAAGGCCGGCUCCCCUGAAACGCAUUAGUGGCAUCUGAGCUGCUACUGUAGGUGUGAUAAAUAUCUAUGCCUUUGGUAUGCUGCAUGAACAGAUCACGCUGCUCAAAACCCAACUUGACAAACUUGACCUCAAAUCAGGUAGGACUACCCGCUGAACUUAA